GCUUUGAAGCGUAAUCGAAGUGGAUUUUUUAUGUUGUUGAGGUGGCUAGUUUCAUUUUGGGUGUUUGUGAUGGCAUAUGAGCAAAUCGGUCUCUUUGGAUCAGUUGCUCUUCUUGCUUUGGGGUUUAUGUUUCCUGUUAACAGUGUUGAGUCUACGAUGGAUGCAGUAACGUCUUUCAGGAGUCAUAGUUUUCGUAGACUGUCGAUAUCUGCUUUCUUCACUAGAGGGAUAUUGAAAAGAUUGAAAACCAUUGUGGCGGUAGGACUUAUUAUUGGGCUGAGCGUAGGUUCUUU
rnacentral:misc_RNA from 1 species